rnacentral:rRNA from 1 species
ACUCUGACGCAGCCACGCCGCGUGCAGGAGACGGUCCUAUGGAUCUGUAACUGCUUUUAUUCGGGACGAAUGGGAAGGUUUCGACCUUGAGUGACGGUACCGAUUGAAUAAGCACCGGCUAACUCCGUGCCAGCAGCCGCGGUAAUACG